rnacentral:rRNA from 1 species
CCUACGGGUGGCAGCAGUCGAGAAUCAUUCACAAUGGGGGAAACCCUGAUGGUGCGACGCCGCGUGGGGGAAUGAAGGUCUUCGGAUUGUAAACCUCUGUCCUCUGUGAAGAUGAUGACGGUAGCAGAGGAGGAAGCUCCGGCUAACUACGUGCCAGCAGCCGCGGUAAUACGUAGGGAGCGAGCGUUGUCCGGAUUUACUGGGUGUAAAGGGUGCGUAGGCGGCUUGGCAAGUCAGUAGUGAAAUCCAUGGGCUUAACCCAUGAACUGCUAUUGAAACUGUCGAGCUUGAGUGAAGUAGAGGUAGGCGGAAUUCCCGGUGUAGCGGUGAAAUGCGUAGAGAUCGGGAGGAACACCAGUGGCGAAGGCGGCCUACUGGGCUUUAACUGACGCUGAGGCACGAAAGCGUGGGUAGCAAACAGGAUUAGAUACCCCUGUAGUC